CUCCGGGUGAUCCCGCCGGACCUGACUGCUAUCGGAUUGGUACUAAGCCAUGCGAGUCAUUGUAGCAAUACAAGGCGGACGGCUCAGUAACACGUAGUCAACCUAACUCGUGGACGUGGAUAACCUCGGGAAACUGAGAAUAAACCACGAUAGAUCAUAGUGCCUGGAAUGGCUUAUGGUCCAAACAGUUUACUGCCAUGGGAUGGGACUGCGGCCUAUCAGCUUGUUGGUGAGGUAAUGGCCCACCAAGGCGAUUACAGGUACGGGCUCUGAGAGGAGAAGCCCGGAGAUGGGUACUGAGACACGGACCCAGGCCCUAUGGGGCGCAGCAGGCGAGAAACCUUAGCAAUGUGCGAAAGCACGACUGGGUCAGUCCGAGUGAUUCCUGAUAAAGGAGUCUUUUGCUUGUCCUAAAAGCACAGGUGAAUAAGGGGUGGGCAAGUCUGGUGUCAGCCGCCGCGGUAAUACCAGCACCUCGAGUGGUCAGGACGUUUAUUGGGCCUAAAGCAUCCGUAGCCGGCUCUGCAAGUCUUCGGUUAAAUCCACCUGCUCAACAGAUGGGCUGCUGGAGAUACUACAGAGCUAGGGAGUGGGAGAGGCAGACGGUAUUCAGUGGGUAGGGGUAAAAUCCUCUGAUCCAUUGAGGACCACCAGUGGCGAAGGCGGUCUGCCAGAACACGUUCGACGGUGAGGGAUGAAAGCUGGGGGAGCAAACCGGAUUAGAUACCCGGGUAGUCCCAGCUGUAAACGAUGCAAACUCGGUGAUGCAUUGGCUUAUGGCCAAUGCAGUGCCGCAGGGAAGCCGUUAAGUUUGCCGCCUGGGAAGUACGGACGCAAGUCUGAAACUUAAAAGGAAUUGGCGGGGGAGCA
rnacentral:rRNA from 1 species